UAGGGAAUUUUCCACAAUGGGCGAAAGCCUGAUGGAGCAACGCCGCGUGCAGGAUGAAGGCCUUCGGGUUGUAAACUGCUUUUCUGUGUGAAGAUUAUGACGGUAACAUAGGAAUAAGGAUCGGCUAACUCCGUGCCAGCAGCCGCGGUCAUACGGAGGAUCCAAGCGUUAUCCGGAAUUACUGGGCGUAAAGAGUUGCGUAGGUGGCAGAAUAAGCAAGGCAUGAAAGCGUGUGGCUCAACCAUACAUACAUGUUUUGAACUGUUCAGCUAGAGAAUGAGAGAGGUCACUGGAAUUCCCUGUGUAGGAGUGAAAUCCGUAGAUAUAGGGAGGAACACCGAUGGCGUAGGCAGGUGACUGGCUCAUUUCUGACACUAAGGCACGAAAGCGUGGGUAGCAAA
rnacentral:rRNA from 1 species